CAGAUAACCUUACUUUCAGAUAACUUUACAGAUAAUGUUUACUUUCAGAUAACUUACUGGAAUAAGGCAGUUACAGCUGGGAGGUAUUGCCUGAUGGACAGAACAGCCAGGGCCUAGGGGAGGGGUGGCAGAGGCUCCAAGUGGCUGGCUCCCGAACAAUCAGGAGGCACCCCCCACUAGAGGAAGGGAGGGCCAAUGAGGAGGCUGGCCAAGUCGCCCCGGCCAUUCCUCCCUCAGGCGUCAUAGAAGACGGCCCUGUGAAUGUCUGAUCAGUACGCAGGCGUGCUGCAGGCCAUAGUCAAGUCGGUGGCCAGGGGGUGUGCGGAGCAGCUUUCCCAGCCCAGUCCUUCCAGUGUGGGAUUCCGGGCUUCCCCUCUGUGUGAUCGAAGUUCGGUUACCUCUGGCGGUGGCGACAAAUCAUGGCGGCCGCUGGGAGGAGCCUCGGAGAGAUCUGGAGGAGUGAUGGAGUUCCUGGGAAAGGCCACCAGGAAGAGUCCGAGUCCGGGAUGUCUUCAGGGCAGAAAAGGCCACGUUGACAGAAAUCAAGUGCGAGACGGAGCAGAAGGGACGGGAGAAAGGAGAAGCUGCUGCUGCUGUGGUUGCCCUCAUUUCGGCUAA
rnacentral:lncRNA from 1 species